rnacentral:misc_RNA from 1 species
AAGUCGUAACAAGGUUUCCGUAGGUGAACCUGCGGAAGGAUCAUUAUCGAUUUGAAGGGUUGUCGCUCUCGUGUGCACGCCCCGAUCAUCCACUCGUACCUGUGCACUUUUUGCGGGCGAAAGUCCGCGUCUCACACACACACACACUACAUGUAUCAGAAUGUCUUACAAUGCAUUACGCAUUUAUUAAUACAA